UACAGAGGUCUCAAGCGUUGCUCGGAAUCACUGGGCGUAAAGGGUGCGUAGGCGGGUCUUUAAGUCAGGGGUGAAAUCCUGGAGCUCAACUCCAGAACUGCCUUUGAUACUGAGGAUCUUGAGUCCGGGAGAGGUGAGUGGAACUGCGAGUGUAGAGGUGAAAUUCGUAGAUAUUCGCAAGAACACCAGUGGCGAAGGCGGCUCACUGGCCCGGUACUGACGCUGAGGCACGGAAAGCGUGGGGAGCAAACAGG
rnacentral:rRNA from 1 species